rnacentral:rRNA from 1 species
UACGUAGGGUGCGAGCGUUAUCCGGAAUUAUUGGGCGUAAAGAGCUCGUAGGCGGUUUGUCGCGUCUGUCGUGAAAGUCCGGGGCUUAACCCCGGAUCUGCGGUGGGUACGGGCAGACUAGAGUGCAGUAGGGGAGACUGGAAUUCCUGGUGUAGCGGUGGAAUGCGCAGAUAUCAGGAGGAACACCGAUGGCGAAGGCAGCUCUCUGGGUCCCUACCGACGCUGGAGUGCGAAAGCAUGGGGAGCGAACGGG